UACGGGGGGGAGCAAGCGUUGUUCGGAUUUACUGGGCGUAAAGGGCGCGUAGGCGGCCUCUGCAAGUCGACUGUGAAAUCUCCGGGCUUAACCCGGAACGGUCAGCCGAUACUGCAGGGCUAGAGUGCAGAAGGGGCAACUGGAAUUCUCGGUGUAGCGGUGAAAUGCGUAGAUAUCAGGAGGAACACCGAUGGCGAAGGCAGGUCUCUGGGCCACUACUGACGCUGAGAAGCGAAAGCAUGGGGAGCGAACGGG
rnacentral:rRNA from 1 species